rnacentral:rRNA from 1 species
GGAUUAGAUACCCUGGUAGUCCACGCCGUAAACGAUGACAACUAGCUGUUGGAAAACAAUAGUUUUUCAGUGGCGCAGCUAACGCAAUAAGUUGUCCGCCUGGGGAGUACGGCCGCAAGGUUAAAACUCAAAUGAAUUGACGGGGACCCGCACAAGCGGUGGAGCAUGUGGUUUAAUUCGAUGCAACGCGAAAAACCUUACCUACUCUUGACAUCCUUGGAACCUUUUGUAAUGAAAGGGUGCCUUUUGGAACCAAGUGACAGGUGCUGCAUGGCUGUCGUCAGCUCGUGCUG